UACGUAGGAGGCGAGCGUUGUCCGGAAUUACUGGGCGUAAAGAGCGCGUAGGUGGCAUGAUACGACCGGUGUGAAAGCCCCCGGCUCAACUGGGGAGGGUCACUGGUAACGGUCAUGCUCGGAGUGCAGGAGAGGGAUGUGGAACUCCGGGAGUAGCGGUGAAAUGCGUAGAGACCCGGAGGAACACCAGUGGCGAAGGCGGCAUCCUGGCCUGCGACUGACGCUGUGGCGCGAAAGCUAGGGGAGCGAACGGGAUUAGAUACCCCGGUAGUCCUAGCCGUAAACGAUGGACACUAGGUGUGCGUGGUAUCGACCCCACGCGUGCCGGCGCUAACGCAGUAAGUGUCCCGCCUGGGGAGUACGACCGCAAGGUUAAA
rnacentral:rRNA from 1 species